GAUCCGAACAUAAGUUUUAUGUGGUGUACUUUCAAAAUUCGCUCAGAAUAAUUAGUACUGCAUUUAAAAGAAAGAUAGGUAGGGUGAUAAUUGUAUAAAAUUCUUAGAUCCGAUUUGAACAUUAUAAAAUCAUAUAUAUUGUUUCUAAUAGAAAUGCUACUUGAGAUUAUAAAAAAAAAGAAGUCCCGCUUUGCAGAUAGAAGACGGCUCACCAGGGCUCGUAAAACCAAAAUGUACCGGGCGUCCCUCGCUUUAGUGACCGAGAGGGGCUUGGGCCCAAGGCGCAAAAUCAUAACGGUCGAACGGAAGCCAUUAUCAUAACCUCCAAACAGAUAGCCGUUUAUUCCCGUCUUUUCUACGCGUAAUCCACCUUUUUUGAGGAUUUGAUGGCAGAACAUGGAUUGAAGUUAAAGGACAUUAUGAUAGAGAUAGUAAAAUGUGCUCGAGUUGAAAGCCAGAAAAGAAAGAAGUUUGAGGUAUAAGGAAUGUAUCAAUGCGUAAAUCGCAAGAAACGAAUAAAAACUUUGUAAACUUAA